AUUGAACGCUGGCGGAAUGCUUUACACAUGCAAGUCGAGCGGCAGCGCGGGGCAACCUGGCGGCGAGCGGCGAACGGGUGAGUAAUGUAUCGGAACGUACCCAGUCGUGGGGGAUAACUAUCCGAAAGGAUAGCUAAUACCGCAUACGUCCUGAGGGAGAAAGCGGGGGAUCGCAAGACCUCGCGCGAUUGGAGCGGCCGAUAUCGCAUUAGCUAGUUGGUGAGGUAAAGGCUCACCAAGGCGACGAUCCGUAGCUGGUCUGAGAGGACGACCAGCCACACUGGAACUGAGACACGGUCCAGACUCCUACGGGAGGCAGCAGUGGGGAAUUUUGGACAAUGGGGGCAACCCUGAUCCAGCCAUUCCGCGUGAGUGAAGAAGGCCUCGGUUGUAA
rnacentral:rRNA from 1 species